rnacentral:lncRNA from 1 species
GUUUCCAUUAUUAGAUAUUAGAGAAUUUCAAAAUCCAAACAGAUCCACAACUAUAAUAAAAUCAUUUAUUUACAACUACAACAGAAUAGUAUACAAAGUCAACAGAUCUUAACCAACGAAAUAGGAUUUAUGGCUACACGAACCAACUGUUGAUAGUUCUAAGAAGAAGUCAAUGGAAACUACGGUAGGUAAUUUAUUAAAACCAUUAAAUUCGGAAUAUGGUAAAGUCGCGCCAGGAUUGGGGACUACCCCUUUUAUGGGAGUUACGAUGGUUCUAUUUACAAUAUUUUUAUCUAUUAUUUUAGAAAUUUAUAAUUCUUCUGUUUUAUUGGAUGGAAUUUUAACGAAUUAGGUUUAUAAGAGUUAUGAAGUUGUAUUAAAAAAAAGAUUAUAAUUUACUAGACCGUUUUGGUAGUUCGACUGUGGAAUUUUUUUUUCCGGUAUUUCAGGAAUAUGAGUGUGUGACUUGUUAAAAUUGAUCCUAUUUGAUAAAAAUAUGUCUGUCAUCUUGAGAGAUGAUUCUACCUCGUCAGAUAUUUCUAUUUAUGCUAGUGCUAAUAUCUGGAACACGAAAGGGGAUAUAUAGAAUAGAUCAAGAAAAGAAAUAUCUGAACUAUGAUUCAUACCUACUAUUCCUCGUAACCGGAUUCAAAAAAGGGGUAAAAGGCUUUUAUUAAAUCAAACUUCUUUUCCUUCCAAAAAAGGACAACUUUUUUCUGGGUUUUGUUAAGUUUUUUUACUUAUCCUAGUCUCUAAAUAAGUGAUGAUCAAAUCGUUCUUACUCAUAGAACCUUUAAGCCUUUUUUCUGUACCAAAUCAUUGUGGCUAUAGUAUGAAUAUGAAGUUUGAAUCAAUUCAUAAGGUCUCAACAAGAUAAUUCCUAUCAAUAGUAAAACAAGACUUAAUUUGAUUGGUUCUCAGAUGGGGAUACUUUUAUUUUACCAUUCUCGAUAUAGUAUAUGAUUGGUUCGAAGAAUGUCUAGAGAUUCAGGCGAUUGCAAAUGAUAUAACUAGUAAAUAUGUUCCUCCUUAUGUCAACAUAUUUUAUUGUUUAGGGGGAAUCACAUUAACUUGUUUUUUAGUACAAGUAGCUACGGGUUUUGCUAUGACUUUUUACUAUCGUCCAACCGUUACAGAAGCAUUUUUCUCUGUUCAAUACAUAAUGACUGAGGUAAACUUUGGUUGGUUAAUACGAGCCGUUCAUCGAUGGUCAGCAAGUAUGAUGGUCAGUUCUAAUGAUGAUCUUGCACGUAUUUCGUGUGUAUCUCAUCUCACAGGUGGAUUUAAAAAUCCCCGGGAAUUAACUUGGGUUACUGGUGUAGUUCUGGGUGUAUUGACUGCAUCUUUUGGUGUAACUGGUUAUUCCUUACCUUGGGACCAAAUUGGUUAUUGGGCAGUAAAAAUCGUAACAGGCGUGCCUGAUGCUAUUCCUGUAAUAAGAUCACCCUUGGUAGAAUUAUUACGUGAACUCUGCAAUGGAGCUACCAACUAAAUUAAUUUCUGAGUCAAUAUCCUUAGUUUCUAUUAACUCGGGCUCUUUUUUUUUCCUAUCAGUAUUGACGUUUUAUCACAUUGCUUUUUAUGAGAUUGUUCAUAAACCAUACAUAUUGGAAUUCGAUUAUAUCAUUAUUAUUUUUCUCUCUCUUUCUUAUUGAAGUAUUAAGGAUUAAUAUUAUCUAAACUAAGUUAUGCUAAGUAGAUAGAUUGGCCCACACUCAAGGCCAAUAGAAUAGUUAGUAUAAAUAGUAUUGUUGUAAUUAUUUUAUUCACUUUUGAUAAAUCUUAAUACAAAGCAAAAUCCUAGGAUUUUUCAAACGUCUCAUCUCCCCUCCGCGACUCCUCACUAUCCUCCCCGGUCUCCCAACACUGCUCCGACUCACACGUCACCGGACUCACUACUUUCUUCAUGGUAUCAGAAUCCUCGUGAAGUGCUGCGUCGACGGUUGCUCUAGGAACUCCCAAAUCAAAACUUCAUCCGCACAGUCGCUGUUCAAAGCAAAGCUCCUCAAACCGCGUUUGAUUUCAAAUUAUGGCUGAAAAGGGACCAAGAGGAGGUCCACUCUUUGAUCCCACAUCCCCCUACUUCAUCAAAUCAUCUGACUCUGGCCCUUUAUCAGUUAUCAAUGUAUUACAAGGCAGUCAAAAUUACUAUCCUUGGAGUAGGGAGAUGACCACUAUCUUACUGACAAGGAGGAAAUUGGGUUUUAUUCUGGGAACAAUCAAAAGGUCUGCUGUUGAAGAUGCAGAAGAACUUGAGGCUUGGACCACCUAUCAUGGAGUGGUCAGGCAAUGGAUCUGAAGCUCAGUCUCCAAAGAUAUAGCCUCACAGAUCAUGUACACUGAUGAUGUCUCAGUGGUCUGGAAUGAUCUUAAAGAUCAGUUCAGACAAUCAAAUGAGACUCACAUUUAUCAACUAUCUCAAGAUGUUUCCAUGAUAUAACAAGGCAAUGACUUUGUCUCAAAGUUCUGCUCAAAUCUGAAAUCCAUUUGGAGAGAAGUUGAUGCAUAUGGUGAGACACCUCAGUGUAGUUGUGGAAAGUGUGCCUGCAACAUGAGUGGCAGGGUUACUGACAGGGAGGACAGACUUAACAUCAAGAAGUUCCUCAUGGGAUUAAGAGAUGACUUCAGACAAGUCAGAUCUUACAUUCUCUCAAUGAAAAAAUUGCCAAAUUUUGGUAAGGUCUAUUCCAUGGUAAUUCAUGAGGAAUCACGUACAACAACUUUCUGAACACAACAACAGUCACGAAGCCUCUGCUUUCUACUCAGCUAGAAAUCAAAGUUCAAAUAGACACUUCAACGACGACGACAACAAUGCUUCAUCAUCACAAGCACCAUAACCAUCUUAUGCUCCAGCACCCCCAAAUACAAAGAAGAGACCUCCCAUUCCAACUGAGCCUCUUUACUACAAAAGUGGCAAACAAGUCAACACCAGCUAUUAUUGCUUCCACUGUGCAGCCUUUGGGCACAGUGAUGAAAAAUGUUUUGUCCAACAUUGGCACCCUUCAUCCAAGGGCACCUCAUUCACAAGGAAAGCCAACCCUACAGUGACUUCAACUGCUGAAACAAACAAACCACAGGGCUCAGCCAACUGUGUAUCUACUGAAGAAGAUUGGUCUGCCUAAUCUGCAUGGGACAAGAGUAAGAAGAAGACCGAGGACUCUGAAAAUCCAAUUGGCCCUCAUGAGUUCCCCCUAUACUCAGAGAAAUACAAUCCCAAGCCUCUUCCCAAAUACACAGGCUCAGGUACUGCAAAUUCAAUUCUUAAUGACAACCAUCUAAAACAAUAUUGGAUCAUUGACUCAGGUGCAUCUGAUGUGGUUGAAUUCCUAAAGGACAAAGGAAUUAUCCACUACUCUAGUUGCCCACACAAACCACAACAGAAUGGUGUGGUUGAAAGGAAACACCAACAUUUUUUGAAUGUUGCUAGAGCACUAAAAAUACAGUCCUCAUUACCCAUUGAGUUAUAGGGUUAUUCCAUACUUCACUCUACAUUCAUCAUAAACAAAUUACCCUCCAAGGUAACACAAAAUCUCUCACCCUAUGAGCUGAUACACUCAAAAGAGCCAAAAUUCCAGAGCCUUAAGACAUUUGGAUGCCUAAGUUAUGUGACAUGCCUCACAAAAGAGGACAAAUUCUCUCACAGAUCAAGAAAAUGCAUUUACUCGGGUCAAUCUCCAACCCAAAAGGGUCACAUUACAUAUGAUCUAGACAACCAUAACAUCUCUGUUAGCAGAGAUGUGAUAUUUUAUGAAAAAAUAUUUCCUCUUAAGGAGGAAGGAAAUUCAGAUGAACCAAGCCCUAAAAAACACAUAAACCAAGAGGAGAGUGACGCACCAUCCUCUGAAACAGAUGAUGAGAGUACUCUUGAAACACCCACUGAGACUGUGAAAAUUCAAGAACAAAUCAAUGACCAAUCAGUAGAGGUAGAUAAUCCCUCAUCAGAAUCCAACACAAAUCCUAGGAGAUAUCCUAGGAGACAGACUAGACCACCAACAAAGUUAGAUGACUACUACUAUUCCUUUGCAACCAGUGAAGGAAAAUCAAGAGGGACAUCAUUCCUAAUGCAUGACUAUCUAGCCUACAAGAGGCUAUCCACCUCCUACACUAAUUACCUAGAUAAAAUAUCCAUAACCACUGAACCAUCCUCAUUCCAACAAGCAAGCCAAAGCCCUGAAUGGGUAAAAGCUAUGAAUGAAGAAUUUUCUGCCCUAAAACUAAAUGACACAUGAGAAAUGGUACCCAAACCAAAAGGCAGAAAGAUAGUAGGAUCUAGAUGGGUAUAUAAGGUCAAAUACAAAUCAAAUGGGGACAUUGAAAGACUUAAGGCUAGAUUGGUGGCCAAGGGCCAUACUUAAGUAGAGAUUUUGACUACAGAGAAACUUUCUCCCCAGUAGCCAAGAUAAUAUCAGUAAGAACCCUACUUGCAGUAGCAUCCAUUAAGAAUUGGUCAACAUACCAAAUGGAUGUCAGCAAUGCAUUCUUGCAUGGUGACCUAUCAGAAGAAAUCUAUAUGUCACCACCCCCUGGUAUGUUAUCACCAAAUGACUCUAGAGUUUGUAAAUUUAAAAAAUCUUUAUAUGGUCUAAAGCAAGCCAACAGAAAUUGGUAUAAGACACUACAAGAAAUACGACCUUGUAUGACGGUUUUUAAAUGUCGGAUUUCCGCUAUCUAAAGACCGCGCCAUGGUAAUGACCGCCAUUAUAACCCCAUAACCGUCAUCUAUUAUUUAUCACUAUUUCCCACCAAAAAUAGUAUAGAUGACGGAUUUCAGCCAUCUAAUCUGAAAAUUUUCGCCAUGUAACUGAAAAUUAUAAGAUGGCGGACAUCCGCCAUGUAAAAUAUGGUGCAAAAAAAGUUGGCGCCAAUUCAUCGAUGGAGGUUAAUUUUAUUGAUGGCGGAUGUCCGCCGACUAUCUUUAUAAUAUUAGAUGGCGGAAAUCCGCCAUCAUAAGUACGUUAGGCCGUUGCCUGCGAAUAUAGAUGGUGGACGUCCGCCAUGUAAACUUUAGUUUAAUAGUAUGGAUGGCGGAAAUCCGUCAUACAAUGUUUGUGUUAUUUUUUUUAAAACAGACUAUUAUAUUAAACGUUCGAAUCGUUAUUUUUUUGAAUUAGAAUACGAUAUUUGAAAAGUUGAUUUUGAAAUACAGAAUCGUUAAACAUUCGAAGUUUAAAAACGAAAGUACAAGUUUACAAUAUUAAUCAACACUCAUUGGAAAUAGAGUCGUCCGAAUCUGAAUUCGAAUUAUCUGAUUCUAAUGCAGACGGUAUGCUGGACUUCGAAGUGGACGCAAUGCUCGUCAAAUCUAGUCCGGAAGCCUUCAAAGCUUUAGUCAUCUGUUUGAACGUCGAUUUCAUUGAUUGAAACUUCUUCUUGUAUUUCGAGAUCCCUUUUUGACUCUCGUUAUACUUGUUCUGAAAAUUAAAACAUAAAUGAGUUCGAUAAUCAAUAAAAUUAAUGAAUUAUAUUUAAAAUACCUCCAAGUUUUUGCUUGUUCCGUCAACAUAUUUCAAUCGUCAUUAGCAGACGUGUUUUCGGAGACAGACUCUUUUCCUUUCCAAUUUGGAGAAGUCCAUUUUUCGUUCGUUGUACUAACCAUACUGGUCGCUUCUCCAAUCCCUAAAAUCCUAUUCUUUUAUAUUUUUUCCGAAAGUCUUGUUGACCGUCACUUCGAUAAAUUGCUGUAUUACCAGAUCGCUCAUGUUAUGAUCUUCUACAUCUUAGGUCUCCCUGUUCCGUCAUCUGGCUUAUGUUCUUCAUGUAGCAUUCAGACCAAAUGACUCUAUGAAAUUACGUCGAUACUUCCAUAUAUCACGGGUAACGUAGAAGACAUCUCUAUUUUUCCUCGGGGAUUCUUAUAAUUACCACUGCUUAGUUUUCAAUUCGCCUCUGACCAUCAAAUUAAAUGUGAAUAACCCAUCUCCCUCUUUUUGAAACAAGGGACGCUUCCGGUUCUGUUCGUGCUUCAAACAAUUUUGUCUUCUCCAUAUUACCAUAUCUCUAGAGUCAAUAAUUUUCUAUGAAGAACUACUGAACUCAAUCACUUGUUGCCGUUACUCAACAGUUUUCUGUUGAGGUCUAUCCCGUAGAGGUAUUCAAAUUGGAUCAGUAAUCGAUUUAUAGGUUUCGUCGUAAACCUAAUUGGUUACUUCCAAUUACGUAAAUCAAUAGUACAUUUCAAUUACGUAAAUCAAUAGUACGUUCAAACCACACUCAAAGGUAGAGCAUUUCCCAUUGAUAUAGAAACUUUUGUAUCAGAAACAAUGGUAUCCCCCUCUGGGAUGUAAAAUAUAUCUCUUCUCACCAUCCUCAUAGUGUAUGAGACAAAUGUAUGCAUUUCGAUUAGGAUCGUAUUCUAUGGUUACGAUUCUACCAGAUAUGUCUUUUUCAUUCCGUUGAAAAUCUAUUUUACGGUAUAGACGCUUACGAUCUCCCCCUCUAUGCCCCACGGUAAUGAUUAAUUCUUCUCGCAUUAUGACCUUUACCACAAUGAUGCUGUCCAUAGAUUAAAUUUUUCUGUGGAUUGGAUUUCACUUGACUGUCUACGGCUCUGUUGCGUGUACUCCGGGUAGAAGUUUUGUAUAAAUGUAUCGCCAUGUUAAUGUUAUUAAGUAUUUUGCUUUAAGUUCUUUUCUCUAUAAGAGGUGGAAUAUAAUAACCCGGUUGAAGCGUAAUGAUCAUACGUCUGUAAUUGUAAUGCAUUGUAUGUCCCAUAAUAAGUCCCAUUCUUCUACCUUUUCUAGGGAGUCGAUGACUAUUCAUAGCUAUUACCUUGACACCAAAGAAGAGUUCGACCCAAUGCUUUAUUUCUGUUCUAGUUGAUCCUGAUUCGACAUUAGAAGUAUAUUGAUUGUUCUCCAAUAAUCGAAUACUUUUUUCUGUAAAUACUGCAUAUUUGAUUCCAUCCAUAAAUCCAUUUUCUUCCCUAUGAGUUCCAGUAUCGAUAAGAAUUCUAGUUCUUAUUGUUCGUAUGUUAUGUAUGAACAUACCAUACCAAUUCGUUAUGUAUGGAUGAUGAAAUUCUAUAUAUACAGAGUCAAUUCCAAUGGACUUAUUGAACGUUCCCAUUGACGUGCAUCCAGCAGGAAUUGAACCUACGAAUUUGCCAAUUAUGAGUUGGCGCUUUAACCAUUCAGCCAUGGAUGCUUAAUGGGUAUAUGGUAUCGUGAUUGAAUUGUAUUGUAUCGUAUCGUGAUUGAAUUGUAUUGUAUCGUGAUUGAUUUUUAAUUUAAACGGAAUCUUUAACAGGAAGCAACGAAACGAUCAAUAGAAGAAAUCGAUGAAAGUUCAGGAAUCCAUAAAACAAUAUCAAUGUAAAUUGUGGAUCGUCGAAUUGAAAGAGAUAUUGAGAGAGAUCAAGAAUUUUCAGUAUUUCUUAGAUUUAUGGAGAAAAUUCGAUUCCGUGGGAUAUUUCACUCACAUUUUUUUCU